rnacentral:rRNA from 1 species
UACAGAGGGUGCAAGCGUUAAUCGGAAUUACUGGGCGUAAAGCGCGCGUAGGUGGUUUGUUAAGUUGGAUGCGAAAUCCCCGGGCUCAACCUGGGAACUGCAUCCAAAACUGGCAAGCUAGAGUAGGGCAGAGGGUGGUGGAAUUUCCUGUGUAGCGGUGAAAUGCGUAGAUAUAGGAAGGAACACCAGUGGCGAAGGCGACCACCUGGGCUCAUACUGACACUGAGGUGCGAAAGCGUGGGGAGCAAACAG